GGAGGGUGCGAGCGUUGUUCGGAAUUACUGGGCGUAAAGCGCGUGUAGGCGGCCUUGCAAGUCAGGCGUGAAAGCCCUCGGCCUAACCGGGGAAGUGCGUCUGAAACUGCUUGGCUUGAGUACGGGAGAGGGAGGCGGAAUUCCCAGUGUAGAGGUGAAAUUCGUAGAUAUUGGGAGGAACACCGGUGGCGAAAGCGGCCUCCUGGACCGAUACUGACGCUGAGACGCGAAAGCGUGGGGAGCAAACAGGAUUAGAUACCCUGGUAGUCCACGCGGUAAACGAUGGGCACUAGGUGUGGGGGGUAUCCACUCCUCCCGUGCCGAAGCUAACGCAUUAAGUGCCCCGCCUGGGGAGUACGGCCGCAAGGUUA
rnacentral:rRNA from 1 species